CAUUCCGAGAUCCAAAGGGCCACUUCCACCCACCCCAAUCUCUCUCUAGCUACGGUUGACGGUCGGAAGGGAUCCAUUCCAGAGAAAAGAGAAGAUGUCAUCCGACGGUAACGAACGGCCGGCAGUGGCCCCCACCGCUCCGAAACCCUACUUCUGCUAUCAGUGCGACCGUACCGUCUCCAUCUUCCUCCCUUCUCCUUCCUCCGACCUUAGCUGCCCCAUCUGCCAUGGCGGCUUUCUCGAAGAAUCCCAAUACCCUCCAGAGCCUAACCCUAAUCCCUUCUUCUCCUCCGACGAUUCUCUGUCCCCCUUCGGAUUGCCCCUAUUCUUAUCCGCCUCCUCCCGAGGCGGCUUCGGUCUCCCUCCCGAUCUCGCCUCCCUCCUCAAUCCCACCGUCAUCCACCGUCGAUCAUCGUCCGUGGGCCCCACCGACCCCGACGUCUUCAACCCCUUGCUCUUCCUCCAGAACCACCUCCAAACCCUCAUGGCCGAUGGUGCCAACAUCCAGUUCGUGAUUGACGGCGCCCCCUCCAACGCCUCCCUCUCCUCCAACCUCGGUGACUACUUCAUUGGGCCUGGCCUCGAGCAGCUCAUCCAGCAGCUCGCUGAUAACGAUCCCAACCGCUAUGGCACCCCACCUGCCUCGAAGUCUGCUAUCGAGACCCUCCCUGACAUCAAGAUCUCUGCCGAGCUGCUCGAGUCGGAUUCCGCGCAGUGCGCUGUCUGCAUGGACAUGUUCGAGCUUGGGUUGGUCGCAAAGCAGAUGCCGUGCAAGCAUAUCUUCCACCCUGAUUGCAUCCUCCCAUGGCUCGCGCUGCACAAUUCAUGCCCCGUCUGCCGCUAUGAGCUGCCGACGGAUGAUCUGGAUUAUGAGCAGCGGACGAGGGGAAUGCCACUCCCGGAGAAUCUGACGAGUGGGAAUGUGGCCACGGAUUCGGGCAGCACCGGUGAGGGAUCAGAACAGGGGGAUUCACAGAGGACGGUUGAGCGGAGGUUUAGGAUCUCGCUGCCCUGGCCAUUUAGGGCUUCUGGUUCGCCUGCAGAGACAAGCAGCACCAGUGUUGGCAGUGGCAAUAAUGCUAAUGUUAACGAAGGGGAGACGGGUUCAAACUCUCUGGAUCGAGGGAAUCAGGAUUUAGGCUCUGAAACCCGGCAAGAAGAUUUGGAUUGAGGACUGUAGGAGGAAUUCCAACCAGUGCAUGAGGGUGGGCUGCCAUGAAUGAAGUUCACCUUGUAAAAAAUUCAGGCCGGUCCACUCAUCAGCCAGGCUAUACUGGGCGUACAUUAAAUCAGAUUGUUGGCAGUUCUGGUUUAAACCAUCCAUUGUUUCUGUACAGCAUGGGCCCCACCUGGUGAUCUUCACCAUGGGCCAUCUUAUGAAUGGUUCAAUGUCCUACACAUGUGACACGCUGGUCGGUAAGCUGGGUUCCCUGUGAAGUUCAUAUUCAACUAGAUGAAGGUGGUGAUGCCUAUAGAGGGGCAUGGAUAUAAAAAUUCCUGGGGAUUGGUAAUUGGGUGAGAAGAAAUCAAAUAUGCAGCUCGUUGAAAGAGAUGAAGUGUGCCCAGACAAGGCUGUGGGUGCAUAUAGUGGCCUCUGAGGAUAUUCACUGCCAUGUUUGCUGAAGGAGCAUCCCCUGUAAUUUGUCAAUUAGUUUGCCCUGGAUCUGUUUGGACGGGUCUCAGAAGGUGGGCCAGAAUUCUGUGUCCCAUGGACAGGACCUCCCAGGCAACUAUAUACUACAUUGAAAUUUGGUAUAUUUGAACUUUGAGAUCACAAUCAUAGGUUUUAGCUGAUUUGUUCAUAAUCAAAACAUCCUUAUGUCUGUUUUUCCAUUGUCUGUGUUUUGUUUCUUCCUUUUUUUUUGGGGGGAAUUUUUGUAAUAUAUCACCAUCACCAUCAUCAUCAUCAUUCAUGCUCAUACUUAUUUCAUUUAAUACCGUCAGGUUUUCUA